UACGAAGGGGGCGAGCGUUGUUCGGAUUUACUGGGCGUAGAGGGCGCGCAGGCGGCGAUUUUUGUCAGGCGUGAAAGCCCCGGGCUCAACCUGGGAACUGCGCUUGAAACGGGAUUGCUGGAGAUCGGGAGAGGAGAGUGGAAUUCCCAGUGUAGAGGUGAAAUUCGUAGAUAUUCGGAAGACCACCAGUGGCGAAGGCGGCUUGCCAGAACGCGCUCGACGGUGAGGGAUGAAAGCUGGGGGAGCAAACCGG
rnacentral:rRNA from 1 species